AAAAGCUAAAGCAUUCUAGCAUUCCUGAAUGCAGCAACAUAUGGCUGGAUACGACUGCUGACGUCUGACGUCACGGUAAGCGUAUUGCGUCACUUCCUGUUGUAGCUUAUACACUCCAUCUAAUUUGAUAUUCAUUAAAUCUGUGUGUAGCGGUAAUAUUUGAAUCGUAACAUACACUCGCUUUCUUCAAGCACCUUCUCAGUACUUAAUUCUAAGUUAAUCUGUUAUCUCUGUCCGCUAGCCUAGCACUUAGCAUGGCUUCUCCCUCUUCCUCUCCUUCUCUUUCCUGCUCAGUGUGUCACAUGUUUAGUUACUCCUCUGCCUCCUUUAGUGAUAACGAUACCUGUAAUAAAUGCAGUCUCUUUGUAGCUUUGGAGGCGAGGCUCCGCACCAUGGAAAACACCCCGCUAGCUGUUAGCUGGUGCGGACCGCAAUAGUAUAGCUGCUAGUGUAGCUUCUGCUAGCCGUCCCCUAGCACAGUGUUUCUCAACUGGUGGGUCGCGACCCAAAAGUGGGUCGCGGGGCCGUUUUUGGUGGGUCGCGAGCCUUUUUCUAAAAAGAGAGAAAAAUAAAGAUAAUCCAAUUUAGUGGCGAGUCAUUGUAGUUCCCCUCCGCACCCGCAGGGGGUCGUCGUGUCAGCAGCGACCGGUGAGGACACUCGUAUUACUGUAGAAGAAACUGCAUGUUUUCAUAGCAACAGCAGCAUGGCUAAACGCAAGUACGACAGCGAGUACAUUAAAUAUGGAUUUUCCUACAUCGAAGACAAAGGAGUCCAAAAGCACGCAUCUGAAUAAACUUUUCGAGCGGUUUAGCGACUACUUUCCCGAUAAACAACCCGAGGACGACUGGGUGCGCGACCCGUUUGGAAUAAACAUGGAAAGCAUCACGUUGCCUAGCAGCGAUUAAUGUCAGCUGGUGGAGCUAUCAUGUGACCGCACUCUCAGAAAGAAAUUCACAGAGGUUUCCCAGAGACUAUGGGUUGAGGAGGAAUUGGAAAUUUGUCGGCUUAGACCUGGUGUCAUUCCAUCAGUGUUAAACUUCUCGGCUCAUCUUGGAAGAGUACGUGCCAGAAAGACCACGACCAAGCAGCCUUGAGAUCUUAGACAGCGUCUCCCUCAGUUCAAAGGUCCCUCUCUAUCUCCCCACACAUCAACCACUAGAACACAUCUCCAAAGUUCUGCCAGGCCAGCUCAGCUUCCCCUCAGAAGAAGUGCUGCCACCUGCCAGAUGAAGGAGCCUUUUGAGAGGCAGCUGGCAUCGUGAUUGGACUGUACUUUGGUCUGUUCCAGUCCAGCUUCAGCUCCAGAGACGGCAGGUGGGACGAGUCAACGGAGGCCGGGUGGAUGAAGGCAUGCAGCUGAGUACAAUCCAGAAAACAACAGAGGAGGAGUGCAGCAGCCCAGGGCCAGAACAAACAGAGUAGCAUCGUAUGUCUCUUAGAAAACAUCAUAGUGUAGCCUUUGGUAUGAAAAAAUGACAUCAUAUACAUCGUAUUUUGUAGAAAUAACAAGUCAAAGGAAAGAGACAUCCACUGUAGAAUUGUAGUAAUUGUUUGCUGACUGAUUUACUGAUUAUCAGUAUUUUAUUUUUUACUGAUUUACGGUAAUAAAUAAAUUUAAAAAUGGUGCUACUUUGGCUCUGAACCUUUAUCUACCUGUGGUCGCUCUGUCUUCUGGAGUGAUUUGAUUGGUUAUACGUAACGAAUAAAACUCCUUUAACUUAACAUCUAUAAACAAAACAAAAACGUAUCAACAAAGUUUUCUGUUAGACUUUGUGUUCUUCUAAGUUUAACUCCAAGAUUUUAAAUACUUUCAUUUACUGCAAAUGAAUAUCUACUCCAAAUGUCUCACUAAUAAUCAUUAUCAGCCUUAAAAACCCACAAAAUACCCCUCUAUACUGGACCACACUUAGUACAGUCCGGUUCCCCCUUCUAUAAAUCUGCUUGGAAUCGUCCACUUCCUGUUUGUCAAAGUGGCCUUCUACCUGGACAG